GNAUGGAGCAAGCGNNAUCCGGACNUACUGGGUGUAAAGGGUGCGUAGGUGGCAGUGCAAGUCAGAUGUGAAAGGCCGGGGCUCAACCCCGGAGCUGCAUNUGAAACUGCAUAGCUGGAGUACAGGAGAGGCAGGCGGAAUUCCUAGUGUAGCGGUGAAAUGCGUAGAUAUUAGGAGGAACACCAGUGGCGAAGGCGGCCUGCUGGACUGUUACUGACACUGAGGCACGAAAGCGUGGGGAUCGAACAGGAUUAGAUACCCUGGUAGUCCACGCAGUAAACGAUGGCUACUAGCUUUCCGGGAUGAUUGAGUCCUGGGAGGCACAGCGAAAGCGUUAAGUAGUCCACCUGGGGAGU
rnacentral:rRNA from 1 species